rnacentral:misc_RNA from 1 species
AACGCACGAGACCUGCGGACCUGCGGAAGGAUCAUUAACAAAUAUUGAUGUAUAUUAGUGGGCAGUAAGCGAGUGGAAGCGAGCAAAAGUGAGCGGAAGCGAGCGUGAGGGUGCUUUGUGUGUGUUGUGUGUGAGGUAUGUGAAGCGAGAGAUCAGCAGUGUUAAGCGUACUAAGCGUAAAUUGGCCUUACAGCUAGUUUACCGCUAAGCGUACUAAGCGAGAAAUCGGCUUUACAGCUA